UACGUGAGGGGCUAGCGUUGUCCGGAUUUAUUGGGCGUAAAGCGCGUGUAGGCGGCCAGGUAGGUCCGUUGUGAAAACUCGGAGGCUCAACCUCGAGACGCCGGUGGAAACCAUCAGGCUAGAGUCCGGAAGAGGAGAGUGGAAUUCCGUGGUGUAGCGGUGAAAUGACGCAGAUAUCAGGAAGAACACCCGUGGCUAAGGCGGCUCUCUAGUACGGUACUGACGCUGAGACGCGAAAGCGUGGGGAGCGAACAGG
rnacentral:rRNA from 1 species